rnacentral:tRNA from 1 species
GCUUCUGUAGCUCAGUUGGUAGAGCAGAGGACUGAAAAUCCUCGUGUCGUUGGUUCGAUUCCGACCGGAAGCACCA